CCUACGGGUGGCUGCAGUGGGGAAUAUUGGACAAUGGGCGAAAGCCUGAUCCAGCCAUGCCGCGUGUGUGAAGAAGGCCUUCGGGUUGUAAAGCACUUUCAGUGGGGAAGAAAGCCUUGGGGCUAAUACCCUCGAGGAAGGACAUCACCCACAGAAGAAGCACCGGCUAACCCCGUGCCAGCAGCCGCGGUAAUACGGAGGGUGCGAGCGUUAAUCGGAAUUACUGGGCGUAAAGCGCGCGUAGGCGGUCUGAUAAGCCGGUUGUGAAAGCCCCGGGCUCAACCUGGGAACGGCAUCCGGAACUGUCAGGCUAGAGUGCAGGAGAGGAAGGUAGAAUUCCCGGUGUAGCGGUGAAAUGCGUAGAGAUCGGGAGGAAUACCAGUGGCGAAGGCGGCCUUCUGGACUGACACUGACGCUGAGGUGCGAUAGCGUGGGUAGCAAACAGGAUUAGAUACCCCGGUAGUC
rnacentral:rRNA from 1 species